rnacentral:rRNA from 1 species
GAUGAACGCUGGCGGUAUGCUUAACACAUGCAAGUCGAACGGACUCUUCGGAGUUAGUGGCGGACGGGUGAGUAACGCGUGAGAAUCUGGCUUUGGGUUCGGGACAACCACUGGAAACGGUGGCUAAUACCGGAUGUGCCGAGAGGUAAAAGAGAAAUUGCCUGAAGAUGAGCUCGCGUCUGAUUAGCUAGUUGGUGAGGUAAAGGCUCACCAAGGCAGCGAUCAGUAGCUGGUCUGAGAGGAUGACCAGCCACACUGGGACUGAGACACGGCCCAGACUCCUACGGGAGGCAGCAGUGGGGAAUUUUCCGCAAUGGGCGAAAGCCUGACGGAGCAAUACCGCGUGAGGGAAGAAGGCUCUUGGGUUGUAAACCUCUUUUCUUAGGGAAGAACAAAAUGACGGUACCUAAGGAAUCAGCAUAGGCUAACUCCGUG